rnacentral:misc_RNA from 1 species
UGUGGGAGCUGGCUUGCCUGCGAUGCAGACACUGCGGUGUUUCAAGCACACCGCAGGGAUGCUAUCGCAGGCAAGCCAGCUCCCACA